UACAGAGGGUGCAAGCGUUAAUCGGAAUCACUGGGCGUAAAGCGUGCGCAGACGGUUGCGUAAGUCAGAUGUGAAAGCCCCGGGCUCAACCUGGGAAUUGCAUUUGAGACUGCGUAGCUAGGGUGCGGAAGAGGGAAGCGGAAUUUCCGGUGUAGCGGUGAAAUGCGUAGAUAUCGGAAGGAACACCAGUGGCGAAAGCGGCUUCCUGGUCCAGCACCGACGUUCAGGCACGAAAGCGUGGGGAGCAAACAGG
rnacentral:rRNA from 1 species